CAUGUCUGAAGUUUGUUAAGUUUAUGGGUCUCACCAAGUGGAUGAAGGAAGUGGAGUGGUGAGAUGGCCUGCCACUUGUUGCUAGUUAGUGAAUAGAAGGCUCUAAAACUUCUUGAUGUAGUCAUAAAAGGCCAGGUGGUAGAGGUUGGGCGGUCGUUUCAUCACUUUCUCUCGAGGAUAGGCAUUGGGCUGCUAUUGGGUUGCCAGGAUCAUGAUGGAUGGGUCAUCUUUGGGUAUAUCAAU
rnacentral:lncRNA from 1 species